rfam:Mesorhizobium sp. LC103 LC103_contig2, whole genome shotgun sequence.
UGCGCAGCGCGUGCUUGACGACGACAGAGCCGAAGCCGAGCCCCUUCAGACGCGCGGUGCGGAUAUAUUGCUGCGUCAUCACCUCGACCAUCGAGGCGCGCGUCAUGCGCGCGAUGUAGCCGAUGCCGUAGACCGCCAUGGUCAUCACCGGCAGGGUGAAGUUGUAGAAGGUGACGCCCUGG